UACGAAGGGAGCUAGCGUUGUUCGGAAUCACUGGGCGUAAAGCGCACGUAGGCGGAUUUGUAAGUCAGGGGUGAAAUCCCGGGGCUCAACCUCGGAACUGCCUCUGAUACUGCAAAUCUCGAGUCCGGAAGAGGUGGGUGGAAUUCCUAGUGUAGAGGUGAAAUUCGUAGAUAUUAGGAAGAACACCGGUGGCGAAGGCGGCCCACUGGUCCGGUACUGACGCUGAGGUGCGAAAGCGUGGGGAGCAAAC
rnacentral:rRNA from 1 species